GAUACUAAAAUAAUGACUAUGGAGCGACUCUAAGAGUUCAAAAAAAAGACCAUAACAAUAAAUAAAAUCUCUGCCCACGCGAACAAGUGCGAGGCUCACCGAGAAAUAUCAAUCUGUGCACUCUAAUUAACGAAAUCCUCGCCUGCGUCAACUGCUGUCUCUGUAAAAAAAAUUAGCGGGGAAUGGGUCGCUAGCUCAGUGAGUAAUAACACUUAACCACAACCGUUUUUAUUGGGAACAAGUCAGAAAACAUGCUAGUAUCUCAAAUAGAAGAUAACAUAAAAAUUCCCUUUCAGAAACAAUAAAUAAUUUUCAGUCUCAUCAUGUUCUUCUUGUAGUAUAAUACAAAUAAUAAUUUAGUAAUAAGCUCGGUAACCACUGUACAAUUUCAAUAUUCACAUUUGGGAGGUUUUAAUGAACGGAUCAUGUAAUCGGUAUAACUGUGGACUUCUUCGUAAGAAGUCAAAUAUAAAGGUAGUCCCUACUCGAGGGAAAUCAGUAAUGGUAUGCUAGUUCUACCUUUCCACUAGCGAGGGCUAUAACGGUAAUCUGUAAUUACAAGGUGCACCAGGUCUAACGAACCCGCCGUUAGCUACGAGAUCCUUUAAUGUCUACUCCCAUUUAUACUUGUCUCUGUAAUCCGUAUAUACUCGUAGAAACUAUUUUAAAACAAUAUAGGACAUUUCGGUUCUUAUCAAAUUAUAUAAUUUCCUUUCGAUAACAGUAAAUUCAAGAAACGGUCAAACAGAUCUAGUGAUACGAAAAUAUUUAAAACCACAGUAUUCAUCUCAAAUAACUAUUUCGGUAUCAUAUCGAGUAAAAAACUUGUCCCACAUGCAACUCAAAAUAAUCGGUAACACAUUCAUAUUAAAAAUCAUGUGUAAAUCAUGCAAGUUAUGAAAACACAAAUUGCGGUAAGAUUACUACUCACAGUACUCGUGCCGAAAUAUCAACUGCUUCACCUCAAGCAACACGUACAAAUUCCUCCA
rnacentral:lncRNA from 1 species